CUGUUGCUUAUGUCAUCCUGGCUGGGGGAAAAAAAAGAAAGAAAGAAAGAAAACAGGGAGUCUACAGUUUCAGCCCAGUAUCCCAUGACUUUGGAGUGCUCCAGGCAAACCAGAGAUGCGGUCAGGGUCAGUGCAAUCUUACCGUGUGACAACAGAAGGCAAAGCUGACUGACUGGUUCCUGUUUCUGUCCCUCCGACCUGCCAGCAGCUCAGCAGAUGCUCAAGGAUGUCACCCAGCUCAAACUGUUUCCUUUCCAUGUCUGGUAUUUGCCAACUCUCUUCUAAUGAGAUGUCCUCACUUGGAAUUUAUACAGGUGCACUUCAAGAGGAAGAACUUGAACUUCUGCACAUGUGGCUGUUCUGCACAGCUGAAUAUCUGUGUGACCUGGUAUAUCAACAGUCAACGUCCCCCGGAAAAGCUUUGCAGAUUUGGGUCGGCUCCCUGGUUGAAGGAUGUAAGGAAUGAAAAGAGACCAUGGAGAGAAGGAGGUGACAUAGAGAGAAUGACUGAGUGCCUGGAGUUUCCCUCUGAACACCAGACGAAAAUGUGGAGCAUCUGGUCAGGAAAACCACACUUCAGAAGAUUUAAAUAUAGUGUCUUGUUAUCUCAGUCUAUUUCCUUGACAGAACAUGAGGCUGAAUAUCUUUUUGUUGAAUUUCUUUCUCUCUUUUUUUUCAUAAAGAAGCUGAUAAAUCAGGAGGAUUACAGGGAAUGAAAAACGAUGUCUUCCCACUUAAAUGUAGCUCAUUAUUAAUAACCAGGUCUGACUCACGGUACAGGAAAUACAUUUCUGUGCACUCACGCUAUUGUGACAGUGCUAAAGCACAAACACUGACGUGAGCAGAGCUGCAGUGGGGCCAGGUACCACUGCUUGUGUGUGAAGAAAUGUAAAACCUAGUUCUGGCUAAGACAGAUAAGGCAGUCAAUUUGAGAUGAGUUUUUAGCAGUUCUAAAUGCAAUUCAUCUUUUAAAAGCAGAUUUACACUAAGGCCAUGGUGCACUAAUGCAAAGCUUCACAUCCAAAGUCAGUUAUUUUCUGGCAUUCCUGACUGCUGAUUUGAAGGCAUCAAAGAACCAAAGUAGAAGCUAAAAUGUUUCAAAUACGAAUGCAUUAAAAGCAAGCUAAUGUUUUUGAUUGACCUCAUUAUUUAAUUUGGACCUCUUCCUGCUUAGAAAGAGCUGAUCAUAUCAAAAGGUGCUCAAGCCUUUGGACUACUAACCUUGUUUUGUGCCAUUGCUGAUGGAAUAGGAUUUAUCAUCGGCUGUAUUUCCAGCUGGCUUCACUGAAAACAAUAUUGCAAUAGCAGUAGUUGUCUUCCAUGUGGUAGAGUGAACGAAUGGAUAAAUUCAAGAAAAUCAUCCCUGACUAUAAUGAACAGUUUGCAUCAUAAAUACAACAUGACAUUCAAUGGCAGCCCUUCUUCCAUAUAAAGGAAACAAAAUCAAGCAUAGGAACAAAACAAAAUAAAAUACCCUGUUCCGCUGUGAAGUACUGCCUUAGUUAGGCAAUUUCCUCCCAGGUGCAAUUUCUCACAUGGUGCACUAACCCACCACAAUGAAGCAGGAGGCUUCUUUAAUUUGCACUGGUGGUGUGUGUCAAAUUACAUUGGUCAUUCUUUAAUAGGACUCGGUUAUCAAAUGUUGAAGUUAAACAACCAGACCCAAUAGAAUUCUGUGUUAACACAGGAACUGUGAAUCAUGGGCUGGAGAGCAGACACUGGCUUAUAACCCCUCUGAGAAGUAUCUCAGACUGAUAUGUUGGCCCCAAGUCAUAGAUUUUGAACUUCGUUUUUAUAUUUUACUGAAAUCCACAUGGAAGCCUGUUUUUGUUGGUCCUUGUUCAUCUAUUUAGUUCACACAUAUCAGUUUGGUUCCCAGCUAUUGUACAGCUGGCAUCAAUGUGAUUUGAUUUUGCGAUCCAUCUGUUUUAGAUAGCAGAACAGAGAUCGACACAAACCACUCAUUUUUUGCUAAAUCAUGUUUCCUGUGAGGGGUAAAUUUUCACACUCAUGACAGCUGCUUUUCAGAGCUGUAUAUAUUCCUACCUGUGGCAGGAAAGUUGGAGACUCAUGAUCCUUGAAGACCGUUCCAACCCAGGCCAUUCUGUUAUACAUGCAAAUAGGGGCAGUUCCAUGUAAAUUCAUCUGCUCUUAUUCCUGGACAAAUACUGUGCAGCUCAGAAGACACAUUUGGAUUCUAUGACCUAACCCUAACCCUAACCUAAUAAGCUGCAAAAUUAAGUUUUAGAUAACAUUCAUUGAAAUACCUUGCUGAAUAUCACCAAAACAGUAUCAGUGUUCAGCAACUAAGUUCAGUUAUAGCAAGUUUGUGAAAUAGUUCAGAUGAACAGUGUGGGAACAAGCACAUUGUCACCUUUACCUCUCAAAAAAGAGUACUAUGAGCCUUGAAGGUAAUCAAAAUGCUUCUGAUUUCACACAUUAAUGAAAGAAAAGGUGUUGUAGGAAAUACUCCCAAAUGAUCUUUUCCUUAGCCCUUGAGAAAUGAAAGCCUUUCCAAACACUAGGAAGUGUUUGGUGGUGUGUUUUUAGCUUGGUGUUGUUAUAUUCUCAUAAAGGGAACGGGUUGUAAAGCACCUGUUCGGAGUGGAGCACGGAGCACCCACUUCCUGUAACAGUUUGUUCUGGAAAUGUAAACAAGGUAUGUUCGCAGACAUUGGCAUUACAAAGCUGCAGCUGCUCAUUUGUGGUAUUCUUUUGUUUCUCCAUUUGUUUCUCCAUUUUCUUACCCAGGCUUUUCACAAGCUGUCUAAGAAAGCAUCAAAAGACAAAUACAGAUGCUAUCACAAUAAAUCCUGUCCUUUGUUUUUUAGAAUUUUGCUUCCAAAUGUUUGUCCAAGCUCUGGUUUGAGAUCAGGACACCCAUCAGUGUCACUCCUACCUCAGCUGCCAAAGCAGUGCCUCCUCUUUGCACUCCCCCGGCUCUAUACCACCAGCACCACUAGGAUUCCCCAUGGUGGUGCAGUCUGUGAUGGUGUUGCCUUUUGCUCCCUGAGAUAGUCUGGGAAAACAAAGGGACAAUCCCUGCCCUCUGCCUACCCCCACAAAUGGAGUUUCCACCUCCUGGAUGACAAGCAAGAAGUUCAGCUUGACAGGUGGCUCUUUCCCAUCAGGAGGGAGGAUGGCAGAUGGGAUGCCAUGUAGGUUGGGUUUGGCACUGGUCACAGGAACAGUGUGUCACAUUACAGCUUUGAAGGGGAAGAACCAUAAGAGAAGGACUAAGCAUUUGUGUAUUUUGCCACAGAAGACUCUUGGAGCUGAAAGCACUGUGAUGAAGUAGUGAUAGGACAAGAGGGAAUGGCCUUAAGUUGUGCCAAAGGAAAUUCAGGUUGGAUAUUAAAUAAAAUUUCUUCUCUGAAAGAGUGGUGAUACGUUGAACUGGCUGCCCACGGAGGUGGUGGAGUCACCAUCCUUGGAGUUGUUUGAGAACUGUGUAGUUUUGACACUGAGGGACAUGGUCUAGAGUUGCCACAGGCAUGGACUGAUGGUUGGAGUAGAGGGUCUUAGUGGUCUUUCCAACCUUUAUGAUUCUCUGAUUCCAGGGAUGGAAAGAGAAAAGGACAGAGAAUUUCCUCCCCUAGAGAAGAUGCGUGGAUUAAUGGGAUCGUCUAGAUCUCCUAAUGUCUUAAAAUAAAACGGGACAUGAUUCAGGGAAGUGUAUUAUAGAAAUUGCCAAAGGCAAAGGUGGACUGCCUUUUAAAUGUUUUACACCCAUCUACCUACAUUACUCAUGAUUUCAAAUCCUCAGUAAACAAAUAAGGGAGUACUAUCACCUACUUUGAUGGCUCUCCAUUUUGCUGUUUUUUCCUGGCACUUCCUAAGAGUCUGAGAUAAAUGUCAGCCUUUGCAUUAGAAACAUGGCUCUUUUUCAUGUGGUUAAAUGGAAAAGAUGAAAAUGUUAACCAUAAAGCCAAAAUGCAGAAACCAAGAAACCAAGCCAAACAAAUCCAGCAUUUAUCUUCAUUUCCCAGCCCAUUUUUCUAAGCCCACUAUGCAGUUUGCAGAGCUGAUCCAGUAUUUCCAGUGUCCUGGCUUGUCAAGAGUGGUAUUUGAAGUACACGAGGAAAGUGAGUCCAAAGUACACUGGCCUUCUCUUUGAGGUCUGCCAGGACGGGACAGUUUUAGAAAGAAAAUUAUAGCAUUGUGUGGAUAGAUGUAUGCCGUGUGACUGCUGUGCCUUGCUUCUGUCUUUUACAGUUCAUUAAUAAUAAGCCUGACUUUUUAUUUAUUUAUUUAUUUAUAGUUUUUUAGUUUUCCAUCUUUUCUACACAAAUGGGUGUUCUUUAAGUUCAGGAAAAAAAUCAGGUAAAUGAGUGGAACUGCUCAGAAGGAGCAAUUAGAAUGGGCUAAUUCUUGUCUCACUCUUUCCUUCUCCACUAAGGCAUGUUUGCAACGGAAGCGCUAAGCAACAUGAGUUUAUUUUAUCAUCUACAGAUUUUAUCAUUUACACAGUCAUUAAUAUAAAUGUAUAGUCACUAGGAAUUACCAGGAAUUAGAGAUAAUACUUAGCAGAUACCUCACUAAUCUCUAAUUUUCUUUUUAAUAAUUACUCAAACCAGCACUGUAUGGUUGCUUCUCACUCAGCAGGUCCUGGGCUGCAGCUGAUAGACUCUGAUAGACUCCUGUAGCUCCAGUAAGUACCAAUAAGACUCCAGGGGCCAUUCUAGAGUCCCUCUGAACACUAUCAUUGCUAUGCUUUACACUGGGGGCCCCCGGAUAUUUUAUUGCUGCAUCACAGAAUCAUCUAUGUUGGAAAAGCCCUUCAGGAUUAACUCCAACCAUAAACCUGACCUACUGAGUCCCAUCACUAAACCAUGUCCCUUAGCACCCGGGACUGUUCUUAACCCUUACAAUUUAACUGUGAAACCCAUCAGCAAGCCCGUAAUUGAGAGUACUGUGGAUAAAAGCAAAAUUUAUCUCUUUAAGUGCCACCUAGGUGCUUAAUAAAAAUGAAAAAUAUUUUAUGCUCUACAGAAGAAAGUGUGAUCAAAACAGCCGGCAAGACCACGGAACCUGGUAACACUUUGUGAAUGCAGCAUUUCUAGGGAUCUGGAACUGAUUUGCACUGAUGCAACUUUCCUGGAGGCCACAGCCACAUGAAAACAUUUGUACAGCAGGAAUGAGAUGUAAAUGUACUAUACCUUCAUGCUGAUUCCUUUCUAAUUCAGAACUUAUGUGCUUUAUUAUGCAGUGUCCAGUCCAGGUGUCUAAAGAUAAGGAUUUGUUCCUCGAACAGGAAUGAAGAACCAGCAUUUGUGUCAUGUUGUAUAUGACCAUACUACAAGAUGAGUUUGUACUUCAUUUCUUUGUAUUUCGAAAAUGCUAUUCAUUUUAAUAUGCUGGUCAGUGUCAGUACACACUCAGUAUGGUGACUCUGAGAAAUUGCUCAGAAUAUUGUUUUCCUAAAUUAUUUAGCAAACAAUACAUUAUUUUAAA